UCAGGAUUUCAGUCAUUCUGUCCUCUGUGUUGUUGGUUGUCUGUGUUGCUGCUCUCAUGUUUGUCCUGCACAGACAGAAAUCUCAGAGCAGGGAGCUCCAGAUGAAUGAAACUAUGAGCAGAGACCCUCAGGAGAUUGUAACUCCUCCUGUCAACCGAAGUGAAAAUCAGCUCAAAAAGCGGACGCCUCCUGAGAGUCACCAACCAAACCAUGAUCCAGGACUUUCACCUUCACCAACACAUAGACUCACUUUUAAAUAAUGUGGACUUUCUUUUGUUUUU